rnacentral:rRNA from 1 species
UACGUAGGGGGCAAGCGUUGUCCGGAAUCAUUGGGCGUAAAGCGCGUGUAGGCGGCCCGGUAAGUCCGCUGUGAAAGUCGGGGGCUCAACCCUCGAAUGCCGGUGGAUACUGUCGGGCUAGAGUGCGGGAGAGGCGAGUGGAAUUCCUGGUGUAGCGGUGAAAUGCGCAGAUAUCAGGAGGAACACCAGCGGCGAAGGCGGCACUCUGGGCCGGUACUGACGCUGAGGAGCGAAAGCGUGGGUAGCAAACAGG